rnacentral:rRNA from 1 species
AUGUGAGUUUGAUCCUGGCUCAGGAUGAACGCUAGCGGGAGGCCUAACACAUGCAAGCCGAGCGGUAUUUAUUCUUCGGAAUAGAGAGAGCGGCGUACGGGUGCGUAACACGUGUGCAACCUACCUUUAUCAGGGGAAUAGCCUUUCGAAAGGAAGAUUAAUACUCCAUAAUAUAUUAUAUGGCAUCAUUUAAUAUUGAAAACUCCGGUGGAUAGAGAUGGGCACGCGCAAGAUUAGAUAGUUGGUGAGGUAACGGCUCACCAAGUCAAUGAUCUUUAGGGGUCCUGAGAGGGAGAUCCCCCACACUGGUACUGAGACACGGACCAGACUCCUACGGGAGGCAGCAGUGAGGAAUAUUGGACAAUGGGUGAAAGCCUGAUCCAGCCAUCCCGCGUGAAGGAUGACGGUCCUAUGGAUUGUAAACUUCUUUUGUAUAGGGAUAAACCUAGAUACGUGUAUCUAGCUGAAGGUACUAUACGAAUAAGCACCGGCUAACUCCGUGCCAGCAGCCGCGGUAAUACGGAGGGUGCAAGCGUUAUCCGGAUUUAUUGGGUUUAAAGGGUCCGUAGGCGGACCGAUAAGUCAGUGGUGAAAUCUCAUAGCUUAACUAUGAAACUGCCAUUGAUACUGUCGGUCUUGAGUAAAUUAGAGGUAGCUGGAAUAAGUAGUGUAGCGGUGAAAUGCAUAGAUAUUACUUAGAACACCAAUUGCGAAGGCAGGUUACCAUGAUUUAACUGACGCUGAGGGACGAAAGCGUGGGGAGCGAACAGGAUUAGAUACCCUGGUAGUCCACGCCGUAAACGAUGCUAACUCGUUUUUGGGGCGCAAGCUUCAGAGACCAAGCGAAAGUGAUAAGUUAGCCACC